CCUACGGGAGGCAGCAGUGAGGAAUAUUGGUCAAUGGGGGAAACCCUGAAGCAGCAACGCCGCGUGAGGGAUGAAGUUUUUAGGAUUGUAAACUCCUUUUGUUAGAGAAGAUAAUGAGGGCAUUUAACGAAUAACCACCGCCUAAUUCCGUGCCAGCAGCCGCGGUAAUCCGGAGGGUGCGAGCGUUAAUCGGAGUUACUGGGCGUAAAGCGUUCGUAGGCGGCAGGGCAAGUCAGGGGUGAAAUCCCCGCGCUCAACGUGGGACCUGCCUUUGAAACUGGCAAACUGGAGUGUAUGAGAGGUAAGUGGAAUUCCAGGUGUAGGAGUGAAAUGCGUAGAUAUCAGGAGGAACAUCAGUGGCGAAGGCGACUAUCUGG
rnacentral:rRNA from 1 species